rnacentral:rRNA from 1 species
CCUACGGGUGGCAGCAGUGAGGAAUAUUGGUCAAUGGACGAGAGUCUGAACCAGCCAAGUAGCGUGAAGGAUGACUGCCCUACGGGUUGUAAACUUCUUUUAUAUGGGAAUAAAGUGUUCCACGUGUGGGAUUUUGUAUGUACUAUAUGAAUAAGGAUCGGCUAACUCCGUGCCAGCAGCCGCGGUAAUACGGAGGAUCCGAGCGUUAUCCGGAUUUAUUGGGUUUAAAGGGAGCGUAGAUGGAUUGUUAAGUCAGUUGUGAAAGUUUGCGGCUCAACCGUAAAAUUGCAGUUGAUACUGGCAGUCUGGAGUACAGUAGAGGUGGGCGGAAUUCGUGGUGUAGCGGUGAAAUGCUUAGAUAUCACGAAGAACUCCGAUUGCGAAGGCAGCUCACUGGACUGCAACUGACACUGAGGCUCGAAAGUGUGGGUAUCAAACAGGAUUAGAUACCCUUGUAGUC